rnacentral:lncRNA from 1 species
CAUUGUAGUUCUACCAUCCUAUGCCCAUUUGCAUGCUGCCUAGGUACUUGGAAACUUAAUUGUAAGUUGUAGUAUCAUGUGAUAGGAACACAACAACCCCGAUACUUGGCCCCGGGACGACAAUGUUAUAUUUUGCUAUGCUUAAGUAGACGGGUUAUCGGAUGAGUGUUUUCCACGAGUGAUGCGAGGUUGAUAAAAUAAUCAAGACCGGACUAAGACAAGAUUUUCAAGACCUCGGACGCAAUGCAACACUGGGUGAAGGACGGUUGACCGGCUCCCUGGAAAACCCAGUGGAUGCCCGGGAUGCUGGAGAGGCCAUGUCAUCCUGCGGAAAGCUUCACCCAGGCUCAAAGAGAUGGACGGAUAUUUCAAGACCCAAGGCUUACCUGCACAGCCACAAGUCAUUAUG